rnacentral:lncRNA from 1 species
GAUAGGGUGGAUAGGGUCAGACACUGUGGGCUCUGGUCAAAAGUAGUGCACUAGGUUAGGUGGGAUAGGGUCAGACACUGUAGGCUCUGGUCAAAAGUAGUGCACUAGGUAGGGUGGAUAGGGUCAUACACUGUGGGCUCUGGUCAAAAGUAGUGCACUAGGUAGGGUGGAUAGGCUCAGACACUGUAGGCUCUGGUCAAAAGUAGUGCACUAGGUAGGGUGGAUAGGGUCAGACACUGUGGGAUCUGGUCAAAAGUAGUGCACUAGGUAGGGUGGAUAGGGUUAGACACUGAGGUUAUGUAUUAUGUGUUGUGGAAUGAGGAAGAGAGAAACACUGAGGUUAUGUAUUAUGUGUUGUGGAAUGAGGAAGACAGCAGACACUGAGGUUAUGUAUUAUGUGUUGUGGAAUGAGGAAGAGAGAAACACUGAGGUUAUGUAUUAUGUGUUGUAGAAUGAGGAAGAGAGAAACACUGAGGUUAUGUAUUAUGUGUUGUGGAAUGAGGAAGAGAGAGACACUGAGGUUAUGUAUUAUGUGUUGUGGAAUGAGGAAGACAGAGACACUGAGGUUAUGUAUUAUGUGUUGUGGAAUGAGGAAGACAGCCAACUAAAGUCCAUACCAAUGACUUCACAUCGCCAGAACACAGUUCAGUCAUAAAACGAGUUGUCACAGCAAAACAAAUGAAACAUAUUCCUUAGAAUUGGACUUUGCUGAGGGGAAAAGGGGUAAGGGUGUAUAAUUCCAUGUUUGUAAAACAUCACAGCACAGUUGAUAAAUAUAUGGCACCUGGAAACCAAACGAGGUGUCACGGUUGUCGUAGGUUAAAGUGGACCAAGACGCAGCGGGGAAAUGUGCACUCAUCUUCUUUUAUUAUAUGGACAAAGAAGGUGAACCAAAAUAAACACGUACACAAAAAAAACCCACAACAACUCCUAACCGGCCAGUAAGGCACAAAGCUAUACCCAGCACAAUCUCCCUCUAAACACUAAAACAAACACAUACCUAUAUAUAGGACUCUCAAUCAGAGGCAACUAGAAUACACCUGCCUCCAAUUGAGAGUCCAAUCCCCAAUUAACUAAACAUAGAAAUACAAAGAACUAGACUAAACAUAGAAAUACAUUAACAUAGACCAGUGCCCAAAACCCGGAAUAAUAAAUCAAACACACCACUAAACACACAACCACCCCGAACCACAUAAAACAAAUACCCCCUGCGACGUCCUGACCAAACUACAAUAACAACUAACCCCUAUUACUGGUCAGGACGUGACACGAG